GACGAGCGCUGGCGGCGUGCUUAACACAUGCCAGUCGAACGGAAAGGCCUCUUUCGGGGGGUACUCGAGUGGCGAACGGGUGAGUAACACGUGAGUAACCUGCCCUUGACUUUGGGAUAACUUCAGGAAACUGGGGCUAAUACCGGAUAGGAGCUCCUGCUGCAUGGUGGGGGUUGGAAAGUUUCGGCGGUUGGGGAUGGACUCGCGGCUUAUCAGCUUGUUGGUGGGGUAGUGGCUUACCAAGGCUUUGACGGGUAGCCGGCCUGAGAGGGUGACCGGCCACAUUGGGACUGAGAUACGGCCCAGACUCCUACGGGAGGCAGCAGUGGGGAAUAUUGCACAAUGGGUGGAAGCCUGAUGCAGCAACGCCGUGUGCGGGAUGACGGCCUUCGGGUUGUAAACCGCUUUCGCUCAUGACGAAGCUUUGUGUGACGGUAGUGGGUAAAGAAGCACCGGCUAACUACGUG
rnacentral:rRNA from 1 species